UAAUGUCUGGGAAACUGCCUGAUGGAGGGGGGUAACUACUGGAAACGGUGGCUAAUACCGCAUAAUGUCUACGGACCAAAGCAGGGGCUCUUCGGACCUUGCACUAUCGGAUGAACCCAUAUGGGAUUAGCUAGUAGGUGGGGUAAAGGCUCACCUAGGCGACGAUCUCUAGCUGGUCUGAGAGGAUGAUCAGCCACACUGGGACUGAGACACGGCCCAG
rnacentral:rRNA from 1 species